AGUAACUUGGCUAGCCAAAAGGAUGUGAUUGAAGUUUCCUUGAAUCUUACAACUGUAGCUGUCGAACACAACUACUUCACCGUAAAGAAGAUCGUAGCUACAUGGAAACUCACCAAGAGGGAAAAGACUGCUCUCCAUGAUUGUUUGGAGACUAUAGAUGAGACUCUUGAUGAGCUACACAAGGCCUUGGACGAUCUGAAGGAAUAUCCCAACAAGAAAUCUCUGUCUCAACACGCAGAUGAUCUCAAGACUCUAAUGAGUGCUGCAAUUACCAACCAAGAAACAUGCUUGGAAGGAUUCUAUUAUGAGGAAGCCGAUAAGCGUGUGAGAGAAGCUCUGAUGGCUGGUCAAGUUCACGUUGAGCGUAUGUGCAGUAAUGCCCUGGCAAUGAUCAAGAACAUGACAGACACAGACAUUGCCAAUGAGCUUAAGUCAGCCGCUAGAACAAACAGGAAACUCAAGGAGGAGAAAGAUCAUGAAAGUGGGUGGCCGGGGUGGUUGCCGGCAGCAGACAGGAGGCUGUUGCAGUCCUCAUCAGUGACUCCAGACGUGGUGGUGGCAGCUGAUGGAAGUGGGGACUAUAAGACGGUAUCAGAAGCAGUAGCUGCUGCUCCUAAGAAAAGCAGCAAGAGGUACAUUAUUAGAAUAAAAGCAGGUGUUUACAGGGAAAAUGUGGAAGUGCCCAAGAGCAAGACAAACAUAAUGUUUUUGGGAGACGGAAGAAAAACAACGAUUAUUACAGCAAGUAGGAAUGUAGUUGAUGGAAGCACAAC
rnacentral:misc_RNA from 1 species